AUGCGUUGGGAAUAUUCCUUUAGGUGGGGGACAACAGUUGGAAACGACUGCUAAUACCGCAUAAUGUCUACGGACCAGAGUGGGGGACCUUCGGGCCUCACGCCUAAAGAUUAAGCCCAAGUGGGAUUAGCUAGUUGGUUGAGGUAAAGGCUCACCAAGGCAACGAUCCCUAGCUGGUUUGAGAGGAUGAUCAGCCACACUGGAACUGAGACACGGUCCAGACUCCUACGGGAGGCAGCAGUGGGGAAUCUUGGACAAUGGGCGCAAGCCUGAUCCAGCCAUGCCGCGUGAGUGAUGAAG
rnacentral:rRNA from 1 species